rnacentral:rRNA from 1 species
ACGAACGCUGGCGGCAGGCUUAACACAUGCAAGUCGAACGCCCCGCAAGGGGAGUGGCAGACGGGUGAGUAACGCGUGGGAAUCUACCGUACCCUACGGAAUAACGCAUGGAAACGUGUGCUAAUACCGUAUACGCCCUUUGGGGGAAAGAUUUAUCGGGGUAUGAUGAGCCCGCGUUGGAUUAGCUAGUUGGUGGGGUAAAGGCCUACCAAGGCGACGAUCCAUAGCUGGUCUGAGAGGAUGAUCAGCCACAUUGGGACUGAGACACGGCCCAAACUCCUACGGGAGGCAGCAGUGGGGAAUAUUGGACAAUGGGCGCAAGCCUGAUCCAGCCAUGCCGCGUGAGUGAUGAAGGCCCUAGGGUUGUAAAGCUCUUUCACCGGUGAAGAUAAUGACGGUAACCGGAGAAGAAGCCCCGGCUAACUUCGU